rnacentral:lncRNA from 1 species
UUGUUCCAAUUGCCCCACGGUGGGCGCCAAUUGUUGUGAAUUCGUCUAUAAAAAUCACACCAAUAGAAGAACUUGAUGUGUGGAGCAAUAGAACGGCAACCAAAUAAUUAAGCGGAAUAAGCAAUAAUAAUAAUAACCGAUAAAAGAUAAAGGAGAAGAAAGAACACGAUAAUUUGUUUACCCAGUUCGGUCCAAUAAUG